rnacentral:rRNA from 1 species
UACGGAGGUGGCAAGCGUUGUUCGGAUUGACUGGGUGUAAAGGGUGUGUAGGUGUUCCGAUAAGUCAAGCGUGAAAUACUUUGGCUCAACCAAAGAAUUGCGCUUGAUACUGCCGGAAUUGAGUGAAGGAGAGGAGAAUGGAAUUCCCGGUGUAAGGGUGAAAUCUGUAGAGAUCGGGAAGAACACCAGUGGCGAAAGCGAUUCUCUGGCCUUUUACUGACACUGAAACACGAAAGCUAGGGGAG